AUUCAACCUUGAUUUGAAGUUUGAUUCAUGCUUCAAUUAACAUGGUGUGGCGGCUAGGAGCAAGCACUACAUGGAUUCAUUUUGAUAGAAUUAAAAUAUGUAAGAAUCACAUGAAUCUUGUUAAAAGUAAACAAAGUUCAGUUGUAAAAUUAUAUUAAGAUAAAGACCUAGGUUGAAGAGAGAGAAUUUCAGUCAUAAUAUGGAUAAGC
rnacentral:lncRNA from 1 species